rnacentral:rRNA from 1 species
GCAAGUCGAACGAGAACGGACCUAGCUUGCUAGGUUGUCAGCUAAGUGGCGCACGGGUGAGUAAUGCAUAGAUAACGUGCCUUCUAGAAAGGGAUAACAGUUGGAAACGAUUGCUAAUACCUUAUAUGCCUCUAAAACAGAAGUUUGCGAGGGAAACGGUUUACUCCGCUAGAAGAUCGGUCUAUGUCCUAUCAGCUAGUUGGUGAGGUAAAAGCUCACCAAGGCAAUGACGGGUAGCUGGUUUGAGAGGAUGAUC